rnacentral:rRNA from 1 species
AUACGUAGGUGGCAAGCGUUAUCCGGAAUUAUUGGGCGUAAAGAGGGAGCAGGCGGCAGCAAGGGUCUGUGGUGAAAGCCUGAAGCUUAACUUCAGUAAGCCAUAGAAACCAGGCAGCUAGAGUGCAGGAGAGGAUCGUGGAAUUCCAUGUGUAGCGGUGAAAUGCGUAGAUAUAUGGAGGAACACCAGUGGCGAAGGCGACGAUCUGGCCUGCAACUGACGCUCAGUCCCGAAAGCGUGGGGAGCAAAUAGGAUUAGAUACCCUAGUAGUCCACGCCGUAAACGAUGAGUACUAAGUGUUGGAUGUCAAAGUUCAGUGCUGCAGUUAACGCAAUAAGUACUCCGCCUGAGUAGUACGUUCGCAAGAAUGAA